AUCGAACGCUGGCGGCAGGCCUAACACAUGCAAGUCGAGCGAGCGGCGGACGGGUGAGUAAUGUAUGGGGACUGCCUGAUAGAGGGGGCUAACUACUGGAAACGGUGGCUAAAACCGCAUACUAUCGGAUAACUCUUAUGGGAUUAGCUAGUAGGUGGGGUAAAGGCGCACCUAGGCGACGAUCGCUAGCUGGUCUGAGAGGGUGAUCGGCCACACUGGGACUGGGACACGGCCCAGACUCCUACGGAGGCAGCAGUGGGGAAUAUUGCACAAUGGGCGCAAGCCUGAUGCAGCCAUGCCGCGUGUAUGAAGAAGGCCUUAGGGUUGUAAAGUACUUUCAGCGGGGAGGCGUUACCCGAAGAAGAAGCACCGGCUAACUCCGUGCCAGCAGCCGCGGUAAUUC
rnacentral:rRNA from 1 species